UACGGGGGGGGCAAGCGUUGUUCGGAAUUACUGGGCGUAAAGGGCUCGUAGGCGGCCAACUAAGUCCGACGUGAAAUCCCAAGGCUUAACCUUGGAAUUGCGUCGGAUACUGGAUGGCUUGAAUUCGGGAGAGGGAUGCAGAAUUCCAGGUGUAGCGGUGAAAUGCGUAGAUAUCUGGAGGAAUACCGGUGGCGAAGGCGGCAUCCUGGACCGACAUUGACGCUGAUGAGCGAAAGCUAGGGGAGCAAACGGG
rnacentral:rRNA from 1 species